ACAAGCACUCCCGGCACUUCUGUCUAUAGGAUGGAAGUCGUCACAUUUCAGGGGGGAGUAUCACAAGCUCUCCCGACACUUCUGUCUAUAGGAUGGAAGUCGUCACAUUUCGAGGGGGAGUAUCACAAGCUCUCCCGACACUUCUGUCUAUAGGAUGGAAGUCGUCACAUUUCGAGGGGGAGUAUCACAAGCUCUCCCGACACUUCUGUCUAUAGGAUGGAAGUCGUCACAUAUCGAGGGGGAGUAUCACAAGCUCUCCCGACACUUCUGUCUAUAGGAUGGAAGUCGUCACAUUUCGAGGGGGAGUAUCACAAGCUCUCCCGACACUUCUGUCUAUAGGAUGGAAGUCGUCACAUAUCGAGGGGGAGUAUCACAAGCUCUUCCGACACUUCUGUCUAUAGGAUGGAAGUCGUCACAUUUCGAGGGGGAGUAUCACAAGCUCUCCCGACACUUCUGUCUAUAGGAUGGAAGUCGUCACAUAUCGAGGGGGAGUAUCACAAGCUCUCCCGACACUUCUGUCGCUCUAGCCAGAAGUCGUCAAAGAAAUUGAGCACGGUAAAAUCUGUCGCUUCGGCCAGAUUUACCAAGGACAAAUUUGAGCAAAGGAGGGACACACGAAAGGAUGUUUUCUUUUUUGCAGGAAAGGUUCUA
rnacentral:lncRNA from 1 species